rnacentral:rRNA from 1 species
UGAGUUUGAUUAUGGCUCAGAUUGAACGCUGGCGGCAGGCCUAACACAUGCAAGUCGAGCGGUAACAGGACUAGCUUGCUAGUUGCUGACGAGCGGCGGACGGGUGCGUAACACGUAGGAAUCUGCCCGGUAGUGGGGGAUAGCCCGGAGAAAUCCGGAUUAAUACCGCAUACGCCUUACGAGGGAAAGGAGGGGCCUCUUCGGAGCCUUUCGCUAUCGGAUGAGCCUGCGUCGGAUUAGCUAGUUGGUGGGGUAAAGGCCUACCAAGGCGACGAUCCGUAGCUGGUCUGAGAGGAUGAUCAGCCACACUGGGACUGAGACACGGCCCAGACUCCUACGGGAGGCAGCAGUGGGGAAUAUUGCACAAUGGGGGAAACCCUGAUGCAGCCAUGCCGCGUGUGUGAAGAAGGCUCUAGGGUUGUAAAGCACUUUCAGCGAGGAGGAAAGGUUGCUGGUUAAUACCCAGCGGCUGUGACGUUACUCGCAGAAGAAGCACCGGCUAACUCCGUGCCAGCAGCCGCGGUAAUACGGAGGGUGCGAGCGUUAAUCGGAAUUACUGGGCGUAAAGCGUGCGUAGG